rnacentral:rRNA from 1 species
CCUACGGGAGGCAGCAGUUGGGAAUAUUGCACAAUGGGGGAAACUCUGAUGCAGCAACGCCGCGUGAGUGAAGGAGUUUUUCGGUAUGUAAAGCUCUAUCAGUAGGGAAGAAGAAAGACGUUAUCUCACUAAGAAGCCCCGGCUCACUACGUGCCAGCAGCCGCGGUAAUAUGUAGGGGGCAAGCGCUAUUCGGAUUUACUGGGUGGAAAGGGAGCGUAGACGGCUGUGUAAGUGUUAAGUGAAAGCCCGUGGCUCAACCGCGGAACUGCUUGGUAAACUGUAGGGCUGGAGUACUGGAGAGGCAGGCGGAAUUCCUAGUGUAGCGGUGAAAUGCGUAGAUAUUAGGAGGAACACCAGUGGCGAAGGCGGCCUGCUGGACAGAAACUGACGUUGAGGCUCGAAAGCGUGGGGAGCAAACAGGAUUAGAUACCCCAGUAGUC